GCGGCGGACGGGUGAGUAACACGUGGGCAACCUACCUGUAAGACUGGGAUAACUUCGGGAAACCGGAGCUAAUACCGGAUAAUUCUUUUCUACACAUGUAGAAAAGCUGAAAGACGGUUUCGGCUGUCACUUACAGAUGGGCCCGCGGCGCAUUAGCUAGUUGGUGAGGUAAUGGCUCACCAAGGCAACGAUGCGUAGCCGACCUGAGAGGGUGAUCGGCCACACUGGGACUGAGACACGGCCCAGACUCCUACGGGAGGCAGCAGUAGGGAAUAUUGCGCAAUGGGGGAAACCCUGAUGCAGCGACGCAGCGUGCGGGAUGACGGCCUUCGGGUUGUAAACCGCUUUCAGCAGGGAAGAAGCGCAAGUGACGGUACCUGCAGAAGAAGUACCGGCUAACUACGUGCCAGCAGCCGCGGUAAUACGUAGGGUACGAGCGUUGUCCGGAAUUAUUGGGCGUAAAGAGCUCGUAGGUGGUUGGUCACGUCUGCUGUGGAAACGCAACGCUUAACGUUGCGCGCGCAGUGGGUACGGGCUGA
rnacentral:rRNA from 1 species